rnacentral:lncRNA from 1 species
ACACAGAACAACACCCGGACUCUGUUUUAAUCAUUCUCGGGGACUUUAAUAAAGCCAAUCUCUCCCGUGAACUGCCAAAAUACAGACAGCACAUCACAUGUCCCACCAGAGACAGUAAUAUAUUGGAUCACUGUUACACCACAAUAAAGAAUGCAUAUCACUCUGUCCCACGAGCAGCUUUGGGGCUCUCUGAUCACUGCUUGGUUCAUCUUAUACCGACCUACAGGCAGAAACUGAAAUCAGCUAAACCUGUAUUAAGGACUGUAAAAAGAUGGACUAAUGAAGCAGAGCAGGAUUUACAAGCUUGUUUUGACCUCACUGAUUGGAGCGUUUUUGAAUCUGCUGCCACCGAUCUGGACGAGCUCACAGAGACUGUAACAUCUUAUAUCAGUUUCUGUGAAGACAUGUGCAUUCCUACCAGGACUCACUUAACUUACAACAAUGACAAACCAUGGUUCACUGCAAAACUCAGACAGCUCCGUCAGGCCAAAGAAGAUGCUCACAGGAAGGGGGAUAAUGUCUUGUAUAAACAGGCUAAAUACACACUGGAAAAGGAGAUCAGAGUGGCAAAGAGGAAUUAUUCAGAAAAAAUAAGGAUUAAAUUCUCUUCCAGUGACUCGGCAUCAGUGUGGAAAAGUCUAAAAGAAAUCACCAAUUACAAGACACCAUCCCCCAGCACUGUGGAGAAUCAACACCUGGCAGACGAUCUGAACGAGUUCUACUGCAGGUUUGAAAAGACACCCCACACCCGCCCUGAACACCUCUCCACACAACCAUUCACACCUCCAGCAACCCCCCUCUCCCCCACACCUGCAAUUCAGAUCAGCGAAGAAGAGGUGCGCCAGGUCUUCCGGAAGCAGAAAAGGAGAAAAGCACCAGGCCCAGACUGUGUUACACCAGCCUGUCUGAAAUCCUGUGCUGACCAGCUGGCCCCCAUCUUCACACAGAUCUUCAACAGAUCACUGGAGCUGUGCGAAGUCCCUUCAUGCUUCAAACGCUCCACCAUCAUCCCCGUCCCAAAGAAACCCAAAAUUACUGGACUUAAUGACUACAGACCUGUGGCUCUAACGUCUGUGGUCAUGAAGUCUUUUGAAAGACUGGUGCUGGCCCACCUGAAGGACAUCACUGGACCCUUGCUGGAUCCUCUUCAGUUUGCCUACAGAGCAAACAGGUCUGUGGACGAUGCAGUAAACAUGGGACUGCAUUAUGUUCUGCAACAUCUAGACAGACCAGGGACUUAUGUGAGGAUCCUGUUCGUGGACUUCAGCUCGGCCUUUAACACCAUCAUCCCAAACCUCCUCCUGCCCAAACUAACUCAGCUCUCCGUGCCCACCUCCGUCUGUCAGGCAGGCAGCUGC